CUCUGCAGCGCAUGCGCGGUGCGCGACCGUUCGGCCAGGCCAGGCGCCCUGUGGAGAAAAGUCGCAGCUUGGACGCGCUGAUCGAUAAAUCGCUGCUGCCGGGCUUUGGCGAGCCGCCGUCUGCACCGCCCGGGGAGUGAAAAUGGCCUCGAGACGAAUUACGCGGGAGACUUUUGAUGCUGUGGUGCAAGAUAAAGUUAAAAGGUAUCGGAUGGACCGAAAUGAUGCUAUAGAAGAGACAAUCCAUCAUUUUAAAGCUCAUUCAAGAUCCGUUUCAAGACCCAGGUAUGAAGACAGUUUUCAUGAUGAUGGAAGAUAUUCACAUGACGGUCCCCAACACCAUCCGCAUGACGACUGGAGAGGAGACACUCGAGAGGACUAUCCAGGGCCUUCUUAUAGAUCCAGUAGCCCUCUCAUGAGGAAAGAUGAUUACUACCAUGACCACUAUGGCCGCCCUGCCUCUCGGGACCGGGACUAUGGCCGCCCUGCCUCUCGGGACCGGGACUAUGGCCGCCCUGCCUCUCGGGACCGGGACUAUGGCCGCCCUGCCUCUCGGGACCGGGACUAUGGCCGCCCUACCUCUCGGGACCGGGACUAUGGCCGCCCUCACCCUCGGGAAUCCUCCAGAUUGCAUGACACUGACUUUGGCUCUUCUGAGCUCUUGGGUGAUUUUAGGUCACCAGGACUUGUGGAAGAGGAGUAUGGGAACAUAGAAAGUCAGGAUUAUGACCUGGAAUAUGGACUUCAAUCUGAGAGUGAGUUCAGACCGCCAGUACGCAGAGGCAACAUCGGUAGAGGAAGGAUUCUGAGAGGAAAAAAUAUUACGAGAGGCCUGAUUAAAAAUAAAGUAUUUAAAGGAGAUAUCAAAACUCCUCUAAAGAAAUGGAACACUAAAAAAACACUACCAGUGACUAAUCAGAAGUCAACUCUGCAACCUGAUCAGAUGCCAGAAACUACAGACCGACCUAACCAGAGGUCUGCAAUUGCCCAGCGCCUUAAUCAGAAACUAAUCCUACGACCUAAUCAGAGGUCAACUGUGACAACCCAAAGGCCUGUCAUCCGAAUUCGUAAGUCUGAGCAUGUUCUCAGACAUCUUAAUUUUGAUCUUGUGGACAAGUCUGACAUAUUCUCAACCUUUGGAAUAGAAAUAAUAAAAUGGGCUGGAUUUCACACAAUAAAAAAUGAUGCAGAAUUUCAACAGCUGUUUGGGGCCCUCUUCGAGCUGGAGACAGAAACAUGUGCAAAAAUGCUUGCUUCAUUCAAAUGCUCACUAAAGCCAGAACACCGAGAUUAUUGUUUCUUUACCAUCAAAAAUUUACAACAUGCUGCUUUGAAGACUCCCAAAGUAGACAAUGAGUUCUUAAAUAUGUUGUUAGACAAGGGUGCCAUGAAGACUAAGAACUGCUUCUUUGAAAUAAUAAAGCCUUUUGAUAAGUACAUGAUGAGGCUCCAAGAUCGUCUUCUAAAGAGUGUCACACCUCUGCUUAUGGCCUGCAAUGCCUAUGAAUUAAGCAUCAAGACAAGUGGUUUCAGUAAUUCUGGAGAAAUGGCAGGUGCUUUUGAGACCACCAUUUCUCUGUGUCGUAAGUCCUUGGCACUUUUGGGCCAAACCUUUGCAUUAGCUUCUGCUUUCAGGCAAGAGAAAAUACUUGAAGCUGUUGGUCUCCAGGAAAUGGCUCCAGCACCUACGUCAUUCCCAAAUUUUGAUGAUUCAACAUUAUUUGGAAGAGAGUACAUAGAGAACUUGAAAGCUUGGCUUGAGAAAAGUGGCUAUCCAAUUCAGAUGAAGAAAAUAGAACCUGAAUCCACAAUACAGCUUAAAAAAACUGCUCCUGAUACAAGACCUAAAAUGAAGAUUCCACAGCGAGCUGAUCGGAGAGUUGUAGAGACGAUUGAAAAGCUAGUGAACAGUAUUGUUACAGGUACUUUGUCAGCAAAAGAGAGAACUGCUCAAAAAAGCUGCCCUGAAUAUUGGUUCUUGUCUGAGGAGGAUAGUCUAGAAUACAAAUAUUACAGACUGAAGUUAUCAGAGAUGCAAAGAUUGACAUCAUCUACAAAGGAGGGAGGCAGAGAGGGGAAAACACCAGAAGAAUCUGCAACAGAAUCAGUGAGGGCAAUGUUGUAUGCGAGGAAAGUAGCAAGUAUCAAGAAAAGGCUCUUUAAAAGAAAAAGACUUGGAAUUUUUACACAACAUGGAGUUAGAGGCAGGAAAGUGAGAAAAUCAACUAUAGGGACACAGACUGUGCUUUCAGCUGGUACAAUGCUGAAACGUCAAGACAAGCUCACCCAGGGUUCGGUUCAGUCAAAAUCUUCCAUAUCAGAAAUCAGCAUGUCUGAGAAGAACUCAUCAUUGGACACAGCUGGAUCCUCACAGCAUGCCACCAGUCCAGAAGUUUCUCUGUCACUGGAAGAAGUGGCAGACACUGAGGAUUUAUUGGCAUCCACUGGACAGUCCCAAUCACUGUUGUCUCAAUUUCCUGAUGUGGAUGCUAAAACAAUGGAAACUGCUGAGAAGCUGGCCAAGUUUGUUGCUCAGGUCGGACCAGAAAUUGAGCAGUUCAGCAUAGAUAAUAGUGCAGAUAACCCAGAUCUUUGGUUUCUGCAAGACCAAAACAGUUCUGCUUUCAAAUUUUAUCGAAUGAAAGUCUAUGAAUUGUGCCCAUCUAUCAACUUUAGUGCUGUUUCAGAAAUAGCUGCACCUGGGGAAAGUGAUAAACCUGAAGAAAGAAAUUUGGAUAAUUUAGAAGAGGAGGAGGAAGAAGAGGAGGAGGAGGACAAUGAGGAGGAGGAAGAAGAAGCUGAACUUGAGAAUAUCUCCCAGACCUUGGAAGAAGUGGAAAUGGAGCAUGCAGAGGAGGGGGAAGAAGAGGCCUCAGCAGGUGGUGCUGAGGAGAUCGCAUCCAAAGAGAUGCUGUCCAAAACAGGAGAAGAAACUUCAACAGGUGAAAUGCAGCCAAGCUCAGCUUCUGAUAGUACUACACCAAAUCUGUCAACACAGGUGCCAGCUUCUGCUCCUGGUACCCCUUUCCCUCGCAAAAGAAUCAGCAGCAAAUCUCUGAAAGUUGGCAUGAUUCCUGCAUCUAAGAGGGUCUGCCUCAUAGAGGAACCAAAAGUUCAUGAACCUGUCAGAAUUGCUUAUGACAGACCCCGAGGCCGCCCAGUUACAAAGAAGAAGAAGAAACCAAAAGACUUAGACUUUUUACACAAGAAAUUAACAGUUAAGAAUGUGGGUUUCCAGAUGCUUCAGAAGAUGGGCUGGCAAGAAGGACGUGGUCUUGGUUCACAAGGAAAAGGAAUCAAAGAGCCUGUGAAAGUGUAUGUAAUGGGAACAAACUGCAGAAAUAUUAGACCUAUUUGGAAAAUGCUUCUAGUAGCAAUUGUGGAUCCCUGUCCUGAUGGGAUCGGUCCUAUGUCUUAUUCCCACUCUUGGUCUGCUCCUUGGGCUGGUCAGAGUUGAGACUGGAGGCCUUGUGUCUCUACGAAUCAGAUUGGGUGGAAGUUGGUGUUCUAAGGGGAGGCUGUUUCCUGCCAUCUGAAUGGACAUUGCUGAAGGCUGGGAGGAAAUGCUUCCUGAGGCUCUUUAUUGACACCACCUAAACUCUGGCAAGCACCCUGCUGUGUGUGGAAGCCUUGUAAUAACAUAGGGGUGCUCCGUUAGAAGGAAAACACAUAGAUUUGACCUUGCAAGCUCUUUGCAUGCAGAAUUCCAAUUGGUGCCUGGAGAUUGCUGUGAUGUGUGCAUUGUAAUAUAUAAAUAGACUUCAUAGGAGUUCCACACACAGUACUUAUGUGUUAAGGUAAUACACCAUCUCCACUGUAAACAUAAGAUUCUUUCCACUGCGUUCUGCAAAGAGGUAAGUGCAUCUCCUAGAAGGUAAGCAUGCUUUUCUCUUGAAAUGCAUACAUUAUUAUUUUACAGUCUUUUCUAAGUUUUAAGGAUGUCUUCUCCAAUGUCCUCUUCCAGCCCAGAUAGUAGGUUAUAGUUCUUCCAAGCUGCAAAUAGAAACACAGAGCACAAAAAAAAUGGUGAUUUCACUCCACCAACUACAUGGGAAAAACUCUAGCUGACUGAAGUACCUUGUUGGUUUACUGUUUCUUUUCUUAGGGAAAAUUUUUCCCAUCUUUCUCCAACAGAAUCAGUUAAUCUAGUUGGAUGUCUUUUAGCCAAGUGUGUGUUUCUUUGUACUUCUGGGACACCCUGUGGUUAGGUGGCCUACCACCCUUAGUCUCCCACCUCCUUCCUUCAGAUGGGAAUGCCCUAUGGGAAAGCACCCCAUCUGGUCUGUAGCUUUCUACUCUCUGCCAAGAUACUGGAUCCUUAGCUUCCAGAACUCCUCAUCCCAACACACUUGCAGUUCCUUGGUUUCCCCAGCACAAAAUUAAUAGCUGAGUGUUAAAACCUGUUUGGUCAAUCCAGCUGCGAACCUACCAGGUUCUGAAGAAGGUUUAGAUCUUCUCCAAAGGGUAGUGUUUUAGAUAUGAAAAUAUGCUGUUGGUUUUUGUUUUUUUCCCAACUAAAGUUAGCUGCUCUGUCACUUAUGGAAAGGCACUUGCCAGAACAGACAAGUGAGAACUGUUUGUGAAUGUACUCCUUGUACACAGCUCUCAGGAAAAUUGUGCUGCUGUUUUUGGUCUAAUGUACAGAGGGAGUUGCAGCUAUGUCUCUAGGUAACUCCAAAGCACUAGAUUCUUUAAUGGUCUCCAGUGCUCUUUCCUUUCUCUCUGGAGGCAAGUCUCAGGCCCAAAUCUGAGAUUAUCUCAAUGUGAGUGAGGCUGUCCUGGGCAAUUCACCUUUUUGUGUAUCACUGUGGUGACCUUAAUUGCUGUCCAGUGCAGCUUUUCAUUUAUUCAAGGUGAUCCAUGACUCUCCCUUUGGAAAUGCUGCAUGCUUUAGAAACCAUCAGCCUUUCUGUGGACAAGUACUAGUUGAGAUGUGGUUAGAAGGCCCACAAAUUGGGUAAUUUUAUCUCACCAAAGAGAAAUGGACAGAAGUAAUAUGUGUGAAGGUUUAGAGGCAGUCCAAUGUAAUGUUAGCAUAGCCUUUUAUUGCUGUGUAACAGCAACAAGAACAUUUGCCUCCAGGAUUGAUGCACACAGAGAUGUCAAUCUUCUUGUAUGUGGAGAUGGAACAGAAGUUUGAGGCCUGCCUGUGACAGGGAAAAGCUAAUGACUAGUCUUGGAAAGGUUCAGAAUAACAUCCCUUUUCUCCUCUUGGGUUUCUCUUCCUUCUUCCAUAGCGGAGAUAAGAGAUGGGGAACAUGAUGCCUCCUGCUGGAGCCAGUAGUUACAGAAAGUUCAGUUAUGGGAAGCCCCUGCUGGUCUUGCAUUCCUCUUCCUGCUUCAGAGAAAUGAUUUGUGUCAGCUGUGGAGCUGGCCAGUCCUGAGAUUGAACUGAGGGAAGGAAAAUGUGAAGGCAGAAGAGUUUUAGAUGAUCACUCUUAUAACCAGUCUAAUCUCUACCUUCUCUGAUUAGUCACUUGUACUCUUGCCCUGAAAGUUAUCCCAGAAGGGGGACUCUACAAUACUUAUCAUAUCUACAAUAAAGUCUUCCUGGUUCACAAAUCCAUUAUUACCUAAGCACCAAUGGUUGGCGCUGUACAAGGCAGAAAAUGAAGAUCGUCCUUGCCCUGAAGUGCUGACAACCUAAAAGAUGAAACAGAAGGAAUGCAUUGGGAGGUCCAGAGGAAUGAUUAAGCUAUGACAUGUUACAGACACAUUUAUUUGUUCCCUGUUGUGGGCAUCACAGAAAUAUCUUUGGGAAGAUUUUUAAAGUGGUGACUUGGUGAACUAGGAUAGUAAUGGCAUGUGUCUGUGGGGCAUGUGGAAAAAGGCACAUUAUGGACAGUGGCCUAUCCCUGCCAGGAAGCCACAGAAUUGUUGAAUUGGUUUUAUGCUCUUCCUACAGAGAGUUUUCUAACUUGAUCUUGCAGCUCCAAGGCAGAUACUAAUACUGCAGGGAUUGCAAGGAAAAAACAUCUUCCCAGGACUUGGUUGCAGGCACAAAAGUCCCUGCGGACUGCAAAGGCUCAGUCUACUAUUAAGAGUGCACAAAUAUUCCAGGGCUAUAUGACCAUAUACUUGGUUUAUGUGGCCAUGGCUAUAUAGUUACAGAAAUUAGAUAGUGAGGAUGGUUUCUUUCUUGAUGCCACUUAUGCCACCUGAGUUUCCACUUGUGGCACAGCAAGCCCAACUACAGUUCACCAGACCCUGUGGUUGUGUUCAGAGCUGAUAACUUGCCCUUUAAUUAUUUUUUCUCCAACAUAAAGGAAGGGGGCUUAGUUCCCAAGAGAUCUGGUGGUUUCUGUGCCAUUUUGGAUUUUAGAAACCAUGCUACUUUGGGGUGCCAUCAUUUUGAAUUGGGACCAUGUGUGUCAUGAAUCACAUGAUCAAUCCAGAGGAGUCUGUGAAAUUGAUCUAGAGAACUACCUAUAUUUCCAUUUAUUCAGCAAUAUCACAUGACCUUGGCUUUUUUCUGUUUCUGUCUGUGGGGAGGAAAAGCUAUACACAGUUGGCCUGGCAUAUUAAGGGACACAGAAACUGAAUUAGAUCCUUACUCUGUAACUGUCUCUCUUUGAAACUAUUGUUGUUUUACAUCUCUUCUGCACUUUGUCAAAUAAUGUAUUUUAAUCAAAUUGUGCUAACUAUCCAUUUUACUCCCUAGGGGUACUACCUCUGCAGGGGAGGGCUUGGGUGCUGCAGGGGAAGAAAAUAAAGAAGAUACAUUUGAUGUUUUCCGUCAAAGAAUGAUACAAAUGUACAGGCAGAAAAGAGCAAGUAAAUAGUUUCCAGGCUCUCUUCCAUGAAGACUACAAGCAUCAGUGAACAUUUUAACUAACUUCAGUGGUGUGUCUGCUGUCUUUUGGUUGUUUUUACUGUUGAUGAUCUUGUAGAGCAAUUUGCUAGUUUUUGUUCUGUGCAAAUUGGCAGUAGUGCUAAGCUAGUAAUAAGUAGAUGCUUAUAUUAUUGGAUAACUAAAGUUUCUUUUUAGUACAAGUAAAGAUGUUAGCAUUGUUAAUCUUUUAAAAUCUGCAAUAAAUGUAGAGGUAAACCGUUU